rnacentral:rRNA from 1 species
AACGAACGUUGGCGGCGUGGAUUAGGCAUGCAAGUCGAACGGUGAAGGAGAGCUUGCUCUCCGGAUCAGUGGCGAACGGGUGAGUAACACGUGGGCAACCUGCCCCUCACUCUGGGAUAACGCCGGGAAACCGGCGCUAAUACCGGAUACGACCAGGCGCGACAUCUCGCCUGGUGGAAAGAACUUCGGUGAGGGAUGGGCCCGCGGCCUAUCAGCUUGUUGGUGGGGUAACGGACCACCAAGGCGACGACGGGUAGCAGGCCUGAGAGGGCGACCGGCCACACUGGGCCUGAGACACGGCCCAGACUCCUACGGGAGGCAGCAGUGGGGAAUAUUGCGCAAUGGGCGAAAGCCUGACGCAGCGACGCAGCGUGAGGGACGACGGCCUUCGGGUUGUAAACCUCUUUCAGCGGGGACGAAGCGAAAGUGACGGUACCCGCAGAAGAAGCACCGGCUAACUACGUGCCAGCCGCCGCGGUAAGAC